AUUGAACGCUGGCGGCAGGCCUAACACAUGCAAGUCGAGCGGAGCGGCGGACGGGUGAGUAAUGCCUAGGAAUCUGCCUGGUAGAGGGGGAUAAAGUCCGGAAACGGGCGCUAGUACCGCACACUAGCAGAUGAGCCAAGGUCGGAUUAGCUAGUUGGUGGGGUAAUGGCCAACCAAGGCGCAGAUCCGUAACUGGUCUGAGAGGAUGAUAAGUCACACUGGAACUGAGACACGGUCCAGACUCCUACGGGAGGCAGCAGUGGGGAAUAUUGGACAAUGGGCGAAAGCCUGAUGCAGCCAUGCCGCGUGUGUGAAGAAGGCCUUCGGAUUGUAAAGCACUUUAAGUUGGGAGGCGUUACCAACAGAAUAAGCACCGGCUAACUUCGUGCCAGCAGCCGCGGUAAUAC
rnacentral:rRNA from 1 species